rnacentral:rRNA from 1 species
AUUGAACGCUGGCGGCAGGCUUAACACAUGCAAGUCGAGCGGAGACGAGGUGCUUGCACCUUAUCUUAGCGGCGGACGGGUGAGUAAUGCUUAGGAAUCUGCCUAUUAGUGGGGGACAACAUUCCGAAAGGAAUGCUAAUACCGCAUACGUCCUACGGGAGAAAGCAGGGGAUCUUCGGACCUUGCGCUAAUAGAUGAGCCUAAGUCGGAUUAGCUAGUUGGUAGGGUAAAGGCCUACCAAGGCGACGAUCUGUAGCGGGUCUGAGAGGAUGAUCCGCCACACUGGGACUGAGACACGGCCCAGACUCCUACGGGAGGCAGCAGUGGGGAAUAUUGGACAAUGGGGGAAACCCUGAUCCGGCCAUGCCGCGUGUGUGAAGAAGGCCUUAUGGUUGUAAAGCACUUUAAGCGAGGAGGAGGCUACUGAGACUAAUACUCUUGGAUAGUGGACGUUACUCGCAGAAUAAGCACCGGCUAACUCUGUGCCAGCCGCCGCCGUAA